AUCGUCGUGAGGCGAGGUCUGAAGGACGCGUGUAGCAAAGCCACGACUUCACGAACAGAAACCUGAUAUGAGACCUACUAGGCCGGACGAGCAAGCACGUGAUUGCGAAGUCCAUGACCCUCAAGGGUCUGGGUGGUAGAUCUGGGGGUGUGUGGUGAAGGCGCUGUGC
rnacentral:ncRNA from 1 species